AAUUCUAAAUGGAGACAAUCCAAUGACACCGAUAACUACUACUAUAAAGGUAACUGCUAUGGAGACAAUUGCUAUGGAGGCAAUGGAUGCAGACACGAUCAUAACCAAAACACUACUUUCAUAAAUAAAAUAAUUUAUAUGACAAAAUUAAACAAAAAAGAACAAAGUUUUACUUUUCAAAUUGGCUACAAUAAUAUUAUUAAUUAUAAAAUAAAAAAAAUAAAUAAUGCUAUCAUUAAUCCUUAUUUUGAUUUAUAUAGUAGUACAAAUAAAAGUAACAAUAAUAAUAAUAAUAAUAUAUGUAUCUUAUCAUGCAAUAAUACUGUAUCUCUUUUAUAUAUUUUCCAGUUCCAUAUAAAUAAUACCAUUUUAUUUAAAAACCAUAAUAUUCAAAAAGUUUAUUGGUUUUAUUCAUAUAUUUUUAUAAGUACAUAUAAUUCUAUUUAUAUAAUUAAUUUUUUUAAUAAAACUAAAAUUGCUAAUAUUGUUUUGUUUAAUCAUUUGACGAAUCCCUUAACAUACGAACAUACACAUAAUAUAAAACAAAAACAAACGUAUCCAGAAAAAAAUAAAAAAUUUGAUUUUUCUUUACAUGAACAAACAAGUUUUUUUUUAAAAAGUGAUAGUGACACAACGGAAGAAACAAUAAUAAAAGAUCAAACAAAAAUGUAUAAUACUAAAAAUAUGGAAAGAAUAAAAUUAAAUUAUUAUUCAACUAUACAUAUAUGUGAACUUACAAAAAAUACAUAUAUAAUAGCAAAAAAUAAAAACAUUAAAAUAAUAGAAAUUAAAAAAAUUAAUCAAAUUGAAACUAUAGUUAUGUUGAGUAAUAUUAAUUUAAAAAAUAAUAUAUUAAGUAUAAGUGUUUUGCCUAAUACAAGAACGAAUGAGAUUUUCAACGACACGUUAUAUAUAUCAAUCUUGACUGAAAGUUACACACAUGAGGAAAAAACUACAAUGAAUAAGUUUAUUACUACAUAUACUAACACUGUUGAUAAUAUGGAUGGUACAAAAUAUAUAGAACAUAUUAUUAUUACAAAUAAAAAUUUUUUAUUAUAUAAAAAAAAAAUUAAAAUACAUAAAAUAAGUAGUAAUAAAAAUUUUAAUAUUCAACCUCAAACCAUCGGAUAUAGUUAUAACAUACAUAAUAACGGUAUAAAUAAUCUACAAGUUCAACCAUUUGCUACUAUUAAUAACAAAAAUGCACAUGAAUAUUUACUAACCGAUGUAUAUCUCUAUGAUAAACCUAAUGUAGCUAGUAAUACACAGGAUAAGAAAUUACAAGAUCGUAACUUUCGCGAACAUGAUGAUUCAAAUAUAUAUGAACAACACAUAAAAAUAAAUAUAAAUUCAACUAAUUUGGAAAAAAACAAAUCACAAUGGCAUUUAUAUAUGUACAAUAAUAAUUAUAAUAAGAGUAAUUAUAAUAAGAGUAAUUAUAAUAAGAGUAAUAAUAAUAAAAGUAAUGAUAAUAAAAGUAAUGAUAAUAAAAGUAAUNNNNNNNNNNUUUUUUUUUAUUAUUUCGUCCCAAAACUGUUAAAGAAUUAUUUUUUGAUUUUAUUUUUGAAAAUUUACAAGACCAACAAGUAGAUCACUUAACACAGUGCUCAAAUAACAUGUUUUUAAAAAAAAAAAAAAAUUUUAUAUACAUGUUAAAAACAUUUAUAAAAAAAUUAAACUAUGAUGAAAAACAAGAACUAACUAAUAUAUGUAUGUUAUUAAUAUACUCAUGUUUUAGAUAUAAAACAUAUUUUCUUGCUGCAAAAAUUUUUAUUAUUUUGUAUAAACAUUUACAAACUAAUACAAUUUAUAAUAUAAUUAAAAUAUUUUUUAUUCAUAAACAAUUAC
ensembl:lncRNA